rnacentral:tRNA from 1 species
GCGGCGGUGGCGGAAUUGGCAGACGCGCACGUUUGAGGGGCGUGUGGGCGACCAUACGGGUUCAAGUCCCGUUCGCCGCACCA